rnacentral:rRNA from 1 species
CCUACGGGAGGCAGCAGUAGGGAAUAUUGCUCAAUGGGGGAAACCCUGAAGCAGCAACGCCGCGUGGAGGAUGAAGGUUUUCGGAUUGUAAACUCCUUUUGUUAGAGAAGAUAAUGACGGUAUCUAACGAAUAAGCACCGGCUAACUCCGUGCCAGCAGCCGCGGUAAUACGGAGGGUGCAAGCGUUACUCGGAAUCACUGGGCGGAAAGAGCGCGUAGGCGGGAUAGCAAGUCAGAUGUGAAAUCCUAUGGCUUAACCAUAGAACUGCAUUUGAAACUGUUAUUCUAGAGUAUGGGAGAGGUAGGUGGAAUUCUUGGUGUAGGGGUAAGAACCGUAGAGAUCAAGAGGAAUACUCAGUGCGAAGGCGACCUGCUAGAACAUAACUGACGCUGAUGCGCGAAAGCGUGGGGAGCAAACAGGAUUAGAUACCCGAGUAGUC